rnacentral:rRNA from 1 species
AGUGAACGCUGGCGGCAGGCCUAAUACAUGCAAGUCGAACGGCAGCACAGUGGAGCUUGCUCCGCUGACGAGUGGCGAACGGGUGAGUAACGCAUCGGAACGUACCGUGUAAUGGGGGAUAACGUAGCGAAAGUUACGCUAAUACCGCAUACGCCCUGAGGGGGAAAGUGGGGGACCGCAAGGCCUCACGUUAUACGAGCGGCCGAUGUCGGAUUAGCUAGUUGGUGGGGUAAAGGCCUACCAAGGCGACGAUCCGUAGCGGGUCUGAGAGGAUGAUCCGCCACACUGGGACUGGGACACGGCCCAGACUCCUACGGGAGGCAGCAGUGGGGAAUUUUGGACAAUGGGGGCAACCCUGAUCCAGCCAUGCCGCGUGUGUGAAGAAGGCC